UCAUCACCCUCAACUCAACACUCAUCCUGCACAUCCCAAUGUCAACCGGUGGCGGAUCUCUGUUGAGACCCCCGAAGUGCCACAACAUCCCCUAAAAAAAGAAAUUGUAUAUAGGAAAUUACUAUAGUACCCCUGAGACAUUUUAGUUCACGCUUAGUCUGAGUCUCUCCUCUCCAUCCUCAAACAAAAUGCGAUUCUCACCUCUCACUCACAGUCUCCCCACUCUUCACCAUCGGCGACACGACGGAAGCAGCACGGCGGCGAGGUGGAGGCGCGACGCCUCUCACCUCUGAACUCUCAUACACGGAUACACCUCACUUCAGUUUGUUGUUUCCUUGAUUUUCAAUUAAGGAGUAUGGUCAAACAUAAGAAACUUGAAGCAUUUUAUAAAAGAAUACUUAUUUCCUAAGGAAGAUGCAAAUUGUAUAGCUUCAACAUCAAAUCUCGAAAAGAACCCUUCUCGGAUUUGAGCUAUUGCGGUGAUAUUUUUUGGAUGAAAUUGUAUAUAAUUUUUAUGAAUUUCAAUUAUAAUAUUUAAUAUAUAUCAGCCACUUUCCUCAGUAUUUUCGGCAAGAUCCGCCACUAAUGUCAACAACACUAACUUUUUCCCGACACACACAUUUCCCUCUCAGAAUUCUCACACACACCCCCCAUCUCAUCUCACACACCCCGUCCUUCUCCUCUCUCCCUCUCUCACCCUCUCUCACCCUCUCUCACCCUCUUCUCUCCCAAACGCGCUUUUAAUCGAUAAGCUUCUUUUCCGCUUAAAACAAAACGACUUCUCUUCCCUCCGUACCCAUCUUCUCCAUUCCAAUUCAACCCUAACUCUAACCCUAAUCCCUCAACUUCUUCAAAAAUGCCAAAACUACCCUCUCCUCCUUCCCAACUCAUCCAAACCAUCGCCUCCACGUCUCCAAAUCCAUCUAUCAUUGCCACAUUGAUCCAUUUUCUAGUUCAAUCCAAGAAGCUUCCAGAAGCUCAAUCUCUUCUCCUUAGAAUCAUUAGAAAAAGCGGUGUUUCGCGUGCCAAGGUAAUCGAUUCUCUCAUUUCGAGUUCGAGUUCAAAUUUGAAUUCUAACCAAAAUGUGGUUGUUUUUGAUUUAUUGAUAAGAACUUAUGUUCAAGCUAGGAAAUUAAGAGAAGGUUUUGAGGCAUUUCAAUUGUUAAGAAAAAGAGGUUUUUGUGUUUCGAUUAACGCGUGUAAUGCGCUUUUAGGUUCAAUUGUUAAGGUUAGGGUUUAUUUGUCUGAGAUGGAGGCAAAAGGUUUUUAUGCUGAUCUCGUUACUUAUAAUACUGUGAUUAAUGCUUAUUUCGGAAAGGGUUGAAGCCGGGGCUUUUUACGUAUAAUGCUUUGAUUAAUGGUUUGUGUAAGGAGGGAGGCUAUGAGAGCGCGAAAUGUGUUUUGGAUAAGAUGUUGGGGGUUGGAUUUUGUCCUGAUGCAGCGACUUUUAAUCCUGUGUUGGUUGAGAGUUUUAGGAAGGAGGAUGUUUGGGAGGCGGAGAGGGUUUUUAAUGAAAUGUUGCAGUGUGGAGUUGUUCCUGAUUUGAUUAGCUUUAGCUCGAUUAUUGGGGUGUUUUCGAGGAAUGGGGAACUUGGUCGGGCGUUGGCGUAUUUUGAGAAGAUGAAAGGUGUUGGGUUGGUUCCUGAUACUGUUAUUUAUACUAUUCUUAUCAAUGGGUAUUGUAGGAACAAUGAUGUGUCUGGGGCGCUUAAAGUGCGGAAUGAGAUGGUGGAGCGGAGUUGUGUUAUGGAUGUGGUUACGUAUAAUACUCUGUUGAAUGGAUUGUGUAGGGGUAAAAUGCUUGAUGAUGCUGAUGAACUGUUUAAGGAGAUGGUGGAAAGGGGAGUUUUUCCUGAUUUUUACACUCUAACAACUCUUAUUCAUGGUUAUUGUAAGGAUGGAAACAUGACUAAAGCACUUAGUUUGUUUGAGACUAUUACUUUGAGGAGCCUUAAGCCUGAUGUCGUGACAUAAUACUUUGAUGGAUGGGUUCUGCAAAGUAGGUGAAAUACUUUGAUGGAUGGGUUCUGCAAAGUAGGUGAAAUGGAGAAAGCAAAGGAGUUGUGGCGUGAUAUGAUAAGCAGGGAAAUAUUUCCCCACUAUAUAUCGUUUAGUAUUUUGAUAAAUGGAUUCUGCAGCCUAGGUCUUGUGUCUGAAGCAUUCAGGUUGUGGGAUGAAAUGAAAGAAAAUGGUAUUAAGCCCACCCUAGUCACUAAUAAAAGGCUAUUUGCGUGCUGGCAAUGUGUCAAAGGCAAACGACUUUUUGAACACAAUGGUUUCGGAAGGAGUUCCUCCUGAUUGCAUCACAUAUAAUACUCUUAUAAAUAGCUUUGUAAAGGAAGAGAACUUUGAUCGGGCUUUUUUCUUGAUUAAUAACAUGGAAGAAUGAGGGCUGCUGCCUGAUCUCGUCACAUACAAUGCAAUUCUUGGUGGAUUUUCUAGGCAUGGUAGAAUGCAAGAGGCUGAGAUGGUAUUACAUAAGAUGAUUGAUAAAGGUAUCAAUCCUGAUAAAUCAACUUACACAUCAGUAAUAAAUGGAUAUGUCUCUAAAGACAACAUGAAGGAGGCAUUCCGUGUCCAUGAUGAAAUGCUGCAAAGGGGAUUCGUCCCAGAUGACAAAUUCUAGGAAUUUUACCGUUACAGCCGCCAGAAUUUUACCGCCAUGUGUUAUAAAUUUUUUAUAUGAAGGUUCCGUGGAUCGAAAAAAAUAACAACUCCGGUUCAUGCCAUUUCUGCCGUAACAUAAGAAGCACAUAUGAUUUCGAUGAUUGGAAGCCGUCCAUCCUUGUUUCCAAACAUCUAAGCGUAUGGUUAACCGGAGGGAGAUUCGGCCUUCUUUCACGAACUUCACAAACUGUUCUGUAAGUAUGCUUAACCAUGAAUUCUGAUUUUUGAAUACUAAUCAUGGAGGCAAUACAGUUUGGUAAGCUCAACCGUGGGCUGGGACUACUGAUUUAAGAACUAAACUGCUUUAGUUAAAUUGAUUCUCUUACGAAUUCACCACAAAUUGAUUAGGCAUUUCACAUGACGUUGCAUGAGGUUCAUAGUUUCAAUUUUGUACAAACGGAAGCCUUGAAGUCAUUGCAAUUAUGAAGCAUAGCAUGGGAGUUAAAGUAUCAAUUACGAAGCUGCAGCUCUUUUCAAAAGCAAACAAUGAGUCGUAUUGGGUCAUUGUUUUAAGGUGAUCCAUAUGGGGUUGCUUUUCCAAUUUUGAACUCGUUCUGAAAUUCGAUGAUCAAUCAUAAAUUACAUGAUUUUGGUAUAUUUUUAAAGUCAAGUUGUUGGUAUAUCUCCCUAAUUUAGAGGGAUGUCAAUUUUUUAGUGCCUAGAUUGUGGCACGAGCUGCUUCUAAUGCUUUUUCAUCACUUAGCCCCUGCUUAGAAUUGUGUACAUUGUAAGCUGUGCAGGUUUUAGUUCCUGUAUUUGCACACACAUAGAUAGUAGUUUGUCCAUUAAAAAGUGAUGUGAAUGGAUGAACAAUAUGCAGAUUAUAUCGUGUAUUAGAUCAGAAAAAUCCUUCUGAAGCAAGCUGCAGAUUAUUGCGGUCUUUUUGCAGAAAAA